GGGGGAUUCUCGAAGAGAAAAUGCAUGAUUUUCGUUUACAUGUGAGAUUUUUGUAGAGGAAAUGCGUGAUUUUUUGGAUACAUGGGGGAUUCUUGUAGCAAAACUGUUUGAUUUUGGGGUCAAAUGGGGGAUUUUUGGAGAGCAAAAGUGUGAUUUUCACGUUAAAUGGGGGAUUUUCCGUGAGAAAAUGUGUGAUUUGGGGGAUAAAGGGGUAUUUUUGAAGAGAUAAAGCAUGAUUUUGGGGUAAAUGGGGGAUUUUCCAAGAGAAAAGGCGAGAUUUUUGAGUUAAAUGGGGGAUUUUGCAAGAGAAAAUGGGUGAUUUUGGGGUUAAAUGGGGGAUUGUUGAAGAGACAAUGCAUGAUUUUGGGGUUAAGGGGGGGAUUUUUGAAGAGAAAACGCGUAAUUUUUGGUUUAAACAGCUAUUUUUGAAGAGAAUAUGCGUGAUUUUCAGUUUAAAUCAGGGAUUCUCAAAGAGAAGAUGUGUGAUUUUUGUUUGAAUGGGGUAUUUUUGAAGAGAAAAUGCAUGAUUUUCGGGUUAAAUGGGGGAUUUCGGAAGAGAAAAUGCGUGUUGUUUGAGAUAAACGGGGGAUUUUUGUAGAGCGAAUGCAUGAUUUUCGGGUUAAAUGGGGGAUUU
ensembl:lncRNA